rnacentral:rRNA from 1 species
CCUACGGGAGGCAGCAGUGGGGAAUAUUGCACAAUGGGCGAAAGCCUGAUGCAGCGACGCCGCGUGAGGGAUGACGGCCUUCGGGUUGUAAACCUCUUUCAGCAGGGAAGAAGCGAGAGUGACGGUACCUGCAGAAGAAGCGCCGGCUAACUACGUGCCAGCAGCCGCGGUAAUACGUAGGGCGCAAGCGUUGUCCGGAAUUAUUGGGCGUAAAGAGCUCGUAGGCGGCUUGUUGCGUCGGUUGUGAAAGCCCGGGGCUUAACCCCGGGUCUGCAGUCGAUACGGGCAGGCUAGAGUGUGGUAGGGGAGAUCGGAAUUCCUGGUGUAGCGGUGAAAUGCGCAGAUAUCAGGAGGAACACCGGUGGCGAAGGCGGAUCUCUGGGCCAUUACUGACGCUGAGGAGCGAAAGCGUGGGGAGCGAACAGGAUUAGAUACCCUGGUAGUCCACGCCGUAAACGUUGGGAACUAGGUGUUGGCGACAUUCCACGUCGUCGGUGCCGCAGCUAACGCAUUAAGUUCCCCGCCUGGGGAUACGGCCGCAAGGCUAAAACUCAAAGGAAUUGACGGCUGAGACNGCGAGACGACACGAGGAGAG